GAUGAAGAACGUAGCGAAAUGCGAUAAGUAAUGUGAAUUGCAGAAUUCAGUGAAUCAUCGAAUCUUUGAACGCACAUUGCGCCCCCUGGUAUUCCGGGGGGCAUGCCUGUUCGAGCGUCAUUUCACCACUCAAGCCUCGCUUGGUAUUGGGCAACGCGGUCCGCCGCGUGCCUCAAAUCGUCCGGCUGGGUCUUCUUUCCCCUAAGCGUUGUGGAAACUAUUCGCUAAAGGGUGUUCGGGAGGCUACGCCGUAAAACAACCCCAUUUCUAAGGUUGACCUCGGAUCAGGUAGGGAUACCCGCUGAACUUAAGCAUAUCAAUAAGCGGAGGA
rnacentral:misc_RNA from 1 species